ACCAGCGCCCGUUUAAUAUUUGCUAAUGAUGGAUUAAUUAGGUUUAAUAGAUUCGUCUCACCGUUUAGCCUCCACUUAUGUAAUGGGUUUUGUAAAUAGUCUACGUUUAAUACUCCUAAUUAGUAUCUAAACAUUCGAUGUGACACGUGCUAAAAAUAAGCAAAGGGAACCAAACGUCCCCUUGCGUUGCCCUUCGCGGGGUUGGACCGUUCAAAAGCAAAACCUGAAUGAU
rnacentral:lncRNA from 1 species